GGUUCCCGCCGGCGACGCAUCCGCUUCCAUCGAUCUGAGGCAACCAUGGCAAGCAGCGGAAAGUUGAAGCCCUUGUCUGAUGGCACUGCCAGCUUCUUACGCGACUACGACGUCCCUGCCACCUCUGCCUUCCUGUCUUCCCUUCGUCAUUGCCCGGUCAUGGAACGGAUUGAAACCUUGAUUCAAGCCACAGGCCCUCUCGUCCUUCGUGCCUUGUGCCGGCGUCACCUGUGGGCGGGCCGUGCGACAGAAGGUGCAGGACGUGAGCCGAGGCUGCUCGCUGAGGAGCAUGGAGCGGCCGGCGUCGGGAACCAGCGCUGCUUGCGAGGAGGACGAAGCGGCCGGCGUAGCGAGCCGUCGCUGCCUGCGGGAGGAGGCAGAGAGGCCAGCGGUGUACAGGAAUGGCACGAUGGUACGACUGGACGCCAGAAGAGGUGGAAAAAAAAACAGUUUUGGGAGCGCAGAACAGCGGCGCAAAUCUGACUCCCGAGGCUGCCGUUUUUCCGCACGCGAAUAAAUUGGGAGCAGGCUUGGCCACCGUUGGAGCGGUGAUUUUCUCUUUUGUUGUCAAAAAAUAUUUUUAGGAUCUUGUUUUAGGUAUUGUUGGAAAUGCUCUUAAGCCUUGUUUGGUUAUUAAUCCUCUACCUAAGGCUUCGUUUGGAUUCUUAAUAAUCCCUGUAAUAUUAGUUGUUGCACUCAUUUAUUUCCAAACUACUCCUACAA